UACGUAGGGGGCGAGCGUUAUCCGGAAUUAUUGGGCGUAAAGGGUUCGCAGGCGGCCUUGUAAGUCAGAUGUGAAAGACAGCGGCUUAACCGUUGUAAGCAUUUGAAACUGCAGGGCUUGAGUACAGGAGAGGAAAGCGGAAUUCCUAGUGUAGCGGUGAAAUGCGUAGAUAUUAGGAGGAACACCAGUGGCGAAGGCGGCUUUCUGGACUGAUACUGACGCUGAGGAACGAAAGCGUGGGGAGCAAACAGGAUUAGAUACCCGCGUAGUCCCU
rnacentral:rRNA from 1 species